UACAGAGGUCUCAAGCGUUGUUCGGAUUUAUUGGGCGUAAAGGGCGCGUAGGCGGCGUGGUAAGUCGGGUGUGAAAUCUCAGGGCUCAACCCUGAAACUGCACUUGAUACUGCUCUGCUUGAGGACUGGAGAGGAGACUGGAAUUCACGGUGUAGCAGUGAAAUGCGUAGAUAUCGUGAGGAAGACCAGUGGCGAAGGCGGGUCUCUGGACAGUUCCUGACGCUGAGGCACGAAGGUCAGGGGAGCAAACGGG
rnacentral:rRNA from 1 species